GACGAACGCUGGCGGCGUGCUUAACACAUGCAAGUCGAGCGGUAAGGCCCUUUCGGGGGUACACGAGCGGCGAACGGGUGAGUAACACGUGGGUGACCUGCCCUCAGCUCUGGGAUAAGCCUGGGAAACUGGGUCUAAUACUGGAUAUGACUCCACGGUGCAUGUCGUGGGGUGGAAAGCCUUGUGCGGCUGAGGAUGGGCCCGCGGCCUAUCAGCUUGUUGGUGGGGUGANGGCCUACCAAGGC
rnacentral:rRNA from 1 species